CCAGCAAGAUUUUUGAAGAUAUAAGUGACUCUAAAAUUUAUAUGGAAAUACAGAGAAACUUGAAGGGACAAAAAAUGAUUUUGAAACUGCAGACAAAUCUGGAAGAUUCACACAACUCAAUUUAAAUGUUCACUUGAAGGGGUGCCUGAGUAGCUCAGUGGGUUAAGCAUCUGUCUUUGGCUCAGGUUGUGAUCUCACCGUUAGUGAGUUCUAUUCCCCCAUCGGGCUAUCAUCACAGAGCCACUUUGGAUCCUCUUCCCUCCCUCCUCUCUCUGCCCCCCACCCCUCUGCUUGUGCUCUCUCUCUCUCUCUCAAAAAUAAUAAACACUUAAAAAAAAUUUGUAAUGUUUACUUGAAAGUGACAGUAAUCAAGGCUGUGGUAUUGAUCAAAGGCUAGAUCCAAAGAUUGAUGGAAAAUAACAGUCCACAAAUAGGCCCCAAAGUUAGUAAACUGAUGCCUCUCUCCUUCCUCUGCACGCCCCCUAUAUAUUUCAUCUAUGCCCCACAAAUUCCAUCCAUACCUGGAAAUCCGGUUCGAGGUUCAGGCGGCACAGGGGACUGUCGCACAUCACCUGUAGGUUUACCUUGUGGUCCACCAGCUCCCGGAUACUAUUGAUGCCAUAGUUGAUCAUCAUUAGAUGCUCCAGGAAGAGGCCCCAAGCAAUGAUGCAUAGGUUGUCAGGAAGCCCCAGAGACAGCAACAUGUUGAGACCAAAGAGCCUGGGAACUCUGGGCUCCACCCACUACUUCAGGCCUCAGGGAUCCCUGAACACCACACAAAACACAUGCUGGGUUCCCUGCAGGGCCUGUAGGACAGCUUGAAGCACAGCUAGGUGAUACCCGGCUUGGUGAAGAACUGCCUCAUGACGGCCCUGAGAUGCCCCAGGGUGCAAUCAUGGUCAGCCACAAUGCCCUCGAGCUGGUGGAACUCGGCCAAGUGCGUAGUGCCCAGGGUCUCGUUCUGAAGUCCAGGGAAAAGGACUUGGCGCUCACGAUCGGCUUUUUCUGGGUCAGGCGGCGGAGGGCGCAGCUGCGGCUGACGUCGUGCGCGGCCGGUCGUGCGCAGCUGCGGCUGACGUCGUGCGCACGCUUUUGCGUCUUCUUCCCGGCUCUUGUACUUGUACCCAGGAACCAUGCCUUUGCUGGAAAUAUAGGAGUAUAUAGAGGGUCACAGAGACCCAGAGGAAGGACGUUAAUUCCUAAAGGGCACAGAAAUAAACAUCAUCUAGAAGAACUGUUCUGA
rnacentral:lncRNA from 1 species